rnacentral:rRNA from 1 species
AUUGAACGCUGGCGGCAGGCCUAACACAUGCAAGUCGAGCGGCAGCGGGAAAGUAGCUUGCUACUUUUGCCGGCGAGCGGCGGACGGGUGAGUAAUGCCUGGGAAAUUGCCCAGUCGAGGGGGAUAACAGUUGGAAACGACUGCUAAUACCGCAUACGCCCUACGGGGGAAAGCAGGGGACCUUCGGGCCUUGCGCGAUUGGAUAUGCCCAGGUGGGAUUAGCUAGUUGGUGAGGUAAGGCUCACCAAGGCGACGAUCCCUAGCUGGUCUGAGAGGAUGAUCAGCCACACUGGAACAGAGACACGGUCCAGACUCCUACGGGAGGCAGCAGUGGGGAAUAUUGCACAGUGGGGGAAACCCUGAUGCAGCCAUGCCGCGUGUGUGAAGAAGGCCUUCGGGUUGUAAAGCACUUUCAGCGAGGAGGAAAGGUUGAUGCCUAAUACGUAUCAACUGUGACGUUACUCGCAGAAGAAGCACCGGCUAACUCCGUGCCAGCAGCCGCCGUAACAC